UACGUAGGGGGCAAGCGUUAUCCGGAUUUACUGGGUGUAAAGGGAGCGUAGACGGUUAUGCAAGUCAGAAGUGAAAGCCCAGAGCUCAACUUCGGGACUGCUUUUGAAACUGUGUAACUAGAGUGCAGGAGGGGUAAGCGGAAUUCCUAGUGUAGCGGUGAAAUGCGUAGAUAUUAGGAGGAACACCGGCGGCGAAGGCGGCUUACUGGACUGUAACUGACGUUGAGGCUCGAAAGCGUGGGGAGCAAACAGG
rnacentral:rRNA from 1 species